UACAGAGGUCUCAACCGUUGUUCGGAUUCAUUGGGCGUAAAGGGUGCGUAGGCGGUCGCGCAAGUCGGAUGUGAAAUCUCAGGGCUCAACCCUGAAACUGCAUUCGAUACUGCGUGGCUAGAGUGCUGGAGGGGAGACUGGAAUUUACGGUGUAGCAGUGAAAUGCGUAGAUAUCGUAAGGAAGACCAGUGGCGAAGGCGGGUCUCUGGACAGUUCCUGACACUGAGACACGAAGGCCAGGGGAGCAAACGGG
rnacentral:rRNA from 1 species